rnacentral:lncRNA from 1 species
UGUGGCUGUUCCAACAAGGUCACUUUAGUGACUUCAUCACUUGCCUCUGCAAACUGCUCUUCUUUUUUGCCAACUUCAUCACUUGGCUCUGCAAACUUCUCAAGUUCUUUAUUGGAACUUGGUCUCUGUGGCUGUUCCAACAAGGUCACUUUAGCAACUUCAUCACUUGGCUCUGCAAACUUCUCUAGUUCUUUAUUGGAACUUGGUCUGUGUGGCUGUUCCAACAAGGUCAAUUUACUAACUUCAUCACUUGGCUUUGCAAACUUAGCACUUGGCUUUGCAAACUUCUCUAGUUCUCUAUUGGAACUUGGUCUAUGUGGUUGUUCCAACAAGGUCAAGUUAACGACUUCAUAACUCGGCUCUUCUUUCCGCGUCUUCAACUCACUACCAACAUUCUUGUCAAUUGACGAUCCCGGCUUCCUCAACAACGUCAUGUCACUAAACUUGUCCUUCACUUGUCCACUCUGCGUUUUA